UGGGGAAUAUUGCACAAUGGGGGGGAACCCUGAUGCAGCGACGCCGCGUGAGUGAAGAAGUACCUCGGUAUGUAAAGCUCUGUCAGCAGGGAAGAAAGAAAUGACGGUACCUGACCAAGAAGCACCGGCUAAAUACGUGCC
rnacentral:rRNA from 1 species